AGAAGAGAACGACGUACAGUACGGAGCAGAGACUUCACGGCGUGAUCGUCCUAUCGGGGGUCAGGCUGCAAUUGGCAUGGCCGAGGCCAUGUGCGCCGGUGGCCAUUUAAAAGGAAAGAGAGGUGGAGAGAGAGAUGGUGGGGUUCGGACGGAGAGAGAGAGAGGAGUCCGCCAAGAGGGAGAUUGGGCGUGAGAGAAGCCUAGGGAGCGAGACCGAGAGCAAGGAGUCCUCCGACAGCUCGGCCAUACCGGAGCCUCGUCCGACGACUCCCGGCCGCUCCCUUGAGCCAGCAGCCUCCGGUAAGUCACGGUUCCCUUUCGAUUUCACUCGGAUUGGGUCGUUUUCCAAGGAUUCCGGCUGGGA
rnacentral:lncRNA from 1 species